rnacentral:rRNA from 1 species
GCUGGCGGCAGGCCUAACACAUGCAAGUCGAGCGAGAAAGCACUUCGGUGCGAGUACAGCGGCGGACGGGUGAGUAACGCGUAGGAAUCUACCCAGUAGUGGGGGACAACUCGAGGAAACUCGAGCUAAUACCGCAUAAUCCUUACGAGGGAAAGCAGGGGAUCUUCGGACCUUGUGCUAUUAGAUGAGCCUGCGUCGGAUUAGCUUGUUGGUAGGGUAAUGGCCUACCAAGGCAACGAUCCGUAGCUGGUCUGAGAGGACGACC